rnacentral:rRNA from 1 species
UACAGGAUGGACCCGCGUCUGAUUAGCUAGUUGGUAAGGUAACGGCUUACCAAGGCGACGAUCAGUAGCCGACCUGAGAGGGUGAUCGGCCACAUUGGAACUGAGACACGGUCCAAACUCCUACGGGAGGCAGCAGUGGGGAAUAUUGCACAAUGGGCGAAAGCCUGAUGCAGCAACGCCGCGUGAGUGAUGAAGGCCUUCGGGUCGUAAAACUCUGUCCUCAAGGAAGAUAAUGACGGUACUUGAGGAGGAAGCCCCGGCUAACUACG